CCUACGGGAGGCAGCAGUGGGGAAUAUUGCACAAUGGGGGAAACCCUGAUGCAGCGACGCCGCGUGAGCGAAGACGUAUUUCUGUGUGUAAAGCUCUAUCAGCAGGGGAGAAAAUUACGGUACCUGAGUAAUAAGCUCCGGCUAAAUACGUUCCAGCAGCCGCGGUUAUACGUAGGGAGCAAGCGUUAUCCGGAUUUAGUGGGUGUAAAGGGAGCGCAGGCGGCCUUGCAAGUCUGAUGUGAAAUACCGGGGCUCAACCCCGGAGCUGCAUUGGAAACUGUGAGGCUGGAGUGUCGGAGAGGUAGGCGGAAUUCGUGGUGUAGCGGUGAAAUGCGUAGAUAUUAGGAGGAACACCAGUGGCGAAGGCGGCCUGCUGGACGAUGACUGACGCUGAGGCUCGAAAGCGUGGGGAGCGAACAGGAUUAGAUACCCCAGUAGUC
rnacentral:rRNA from 1 species